GCCUUCGUGGUGUAGCGUUAGCACACUCAGCUCGUAUUCGAGAGGCACAGGUUCGAGUCCCGGGGAAGGCA
rnacentral:tRNA from 1 species